rnacentral:tRNA from 1 species
UAGCUCAGUCGGUAAAGAACCUGCCUAUAAUGCAGGAGACCCAGGUUUGAUUCCUGG